AACGAACGCUGGCGGCAUGCCUAAUACAUGCAAGUCGAACGAGACCUUCGGGUCUUGUGGCGCAUGGGUGCGUAACGCGUGGGAACCUGCCCUUAGGUUCGGAAUAACUCCCCGAAAGGGGUGCUAAUACCGGAUAAUGUCUUCGGACCAAAGAUUUAUCGCCUUUGGAUGGGCCCGCGUUGGAUUAGCUAGUUAGUAGGGUAAAAGUCUACCAAGGCGACGAUUCAUAGCUGGUUUGAGAGGAGGAUCAGCCACACUGGGACUGAGACACGGCCCAGACUCCUACGGGAUGCAGCAGAGGGGAAUAUUGGACAGUGGGCGAAAUGCUGAUCCAGCUAUGCCGGGUGAGUGAUGAAGGCCGUAGGGUUGUAAAGCUCUUUUACCCGGGAUGAUAAUGACGGUACCGGGAGAAUAAGCUCCGGCUAACUCCGUG
rnacentral:rRNA from 1 species